AUUGAACGCUGGCGGCAUGCUUUACACAUGCAAGUCGAACGGCAGCGCGGGCUUCGCUUUCUCUGCGAGUUGCCGACGGGUGAGUAGUGCAUCGGUACAUCCCCAUUUGUUUUUUCUUGCGCGGUGACAUCGGGAUUCUUACCCCAUUCCCCCUUACGACGUACGCGUGAGACCAGGAGAUCUUCCGCUCUUGGACGGUUCGAUGUGCCGAUGUCGGAUUAGUUAGUUGGGGGGGUAAAGGCCCACCAAGGCGACGAUGCGUAGCUGGUCUGAGAGGAUGAUCAGCCACACUGGGACUGAGACACGGCCCAGACUCCUACGGGAGGCAGCAGUGGGGAAUAUUGGACAAUGGGGGCAAGCCUGAUCCAGCCAUGCCGCGUGGGUGAAGAAGGCCUUCGGGUUGUAAAGCGCUUUUGUUGGGGAAGAAAACCAGUAGGCUAAUACCCCGGGGGGAUGACGGUACCGGAAGAAUAAGCACCGGCUAACUACGUG
rnacentral:rRNA from 1 species